AGUUCUGGACCAAAUAUGUUAUAAAAUUCCUCCAAAAUCUGUCCAAUCAAACGGAACAAUGAGGAGAUUACAUUUGGGUUUUCCUGUGAAUAUUAGAACUACAAAUGGAUAGCAUAUCGAGACUGACCUGGGGGCAAGAAUCAUGUCACACAGUAACCUCCUCCCGGACUAAGCCCUUCGGGCAUCACCUCCCUCUCGGGCUGGGCACUGCCACACCGCAGCCGGACCUGCUUUGUACUCACUAUGGUUCCUCUAGCAUUAAGACAUCUGAGUACCCGGCACACGAAGGAACACAUGUACCUACUGCAUCAGUAUCUUGGGUAUCUGCUGCCCGGAAGGACACCUCGCCUUUAUUAC
rnacentral:lncRNA from 10 species